rnacentral:sRNA from 1 species
CUCUCUCUCUCUCUCUCUCUCUCUAAUGAUUUGUAGCGCCUCUCUCUUUCCACGUCUCCAUAACUUUUGGAGAAGUUUCUUAAACAAUUCGAUCUCGUUUAUCUCAGGAAUUUGGUAAAAGUUUUAUGUCCAUAAGGUCUCAGAGGUGGAUGUCUCUGCAAACUGUAAGAAAAAUCACCAAACGAUUUUUUGGUGUCCAUAAUAACGAGUCCAUUUAAAUAUAUCCAUUCAGAAAACUUUUUACUGAUUCAUAUUCAUUCUAUAUACCAUGUCCAUAAUAACAGGAGAUUCGAUUAACCGUGGUUUGUAAAGAAACCAAAGUUUCAUGUCCAUAAGGUCUUGGAAGUGGAGGUCUCUUCAAACUGAAAGAAAAAUCAACAAACAAUUUUUUGGUGUCCAUAAUAACGAGUCCAUUUAAAUAUAUCCAUUCAGAAACUUUUCUAUUGAUCUAUAUCCAUUCUAUAUACCAUGUCAAUAAUAACAGGAGAUUCGAUUAACUGUGUUUUGUAAAGAAACCAAAGUUCCAUGUCCAUAAGGUUUUGAAGGUAGAGGUCUCUGCAAACCGAAAGAAAAAUCAACAAACAAUGUUUUGGUGUCCAUAAUAACGAGUCCAUUUAAAUAUAUCUAUUCGGAAACCUUUUUACUGCUCUAUAUCCAUUCUGUAUACCAUGUCCAUAAUAACAGGAAAUUCGAUUAACCGGAAUCUCGAUGCUACAUAGAUGAAACGAGUUUGACACAUGAGAGAGAGCAAAAAUCAAAUCAAGCCGCCAUUGUUGAAGAAGAAGAAGUUUCUUAGAUAACUAAAUCUCAAAUUUAUGUCAAAACAAAUA